CGGGGCCGGGGCUCUCGGGGCCGGGGGUCCCCCCGCACCGCCCUGCCCGUUCAGCGGCACCUCCCUGUCCCUCCCGCACCUCUCCGCAGGGCACACGGCCCCCGCCACCUCGCUGCGGCGAUCUGGGGAGCCCCUCAUCCUGGCGGGAUUGCAAAACUCUGCUCUGUGAAAUUAUUAGGCUGCUUUACGCAAUGCUUAGCUUAGAUCUCCCUGGUUGAAGUGUAAGUCUGUUAGUUCCAUCUUCCGAGUUUGCUGGAGAGCGGGUAAUACUGCAGCAUUGCACGAAAGCAUCAAGACCUUAUGUAAAUCCCCAUUCCAUAACGAGGGCAGCUAAAAUAUUACAAAGCCAAAUGAUAGAGCCGUCAUUAUCACCAGGAUUCCCUGGUCAGAAGCUGCCAACAGAACUAGCAAAUACACUUUGAAAUCAGGAAAGCAAAAUGGCAAAGAGCAACGCAGCAAUGAGGGAAAGCGUGCAUGGAUCGGGGAUCUGGAUGGAUGCCAAGUGGGUGCCAUGGUGGAAGUGAGGAAGUUGCCACAGGGGAGUUUGGUGCUCCGUGAUAAGCAGAACACUUACACUGAGCACCGUGCAUGGCUCCUGUUUCCUAUCUGUGUUACCCUCCUGCAGCCAGGCUACCUGAGGGUGCUCAGGGCUGGUGGCACUCGUGCUGGCUAUCACCACGGGGGUGGCUUCCCUCCCAGGGCUUAUCUACAGCCACAGGCCGCUGCUUGUCCCUCGGGCAUUCCCACAGGGACAUAAACAGCCAGUCAGCGAUACAGCUGAAAACCAUCCUUUCCCUCAAAGACAGGAAAAACCCUUCUCAUCUUAAGCAAGAACUCGGGGCCUUGUCCUUUCUAAGCUGUCACACAGCAGCUGGGGGCUCACAGGACAGGAAUCCAGUGUGACUGCAGAGGGGCCCCAGAAGGCAGCACAGCAUUCCAGGCCAGCCCCUCCUCUUCUUGUGAUAGCUCUGCAUUUGGCACUUUGGGAGAAGGCAGAACAAACUCUGCACGACACUGACAUUUGUCACAUCUGGGUUUUCGAUCACCAGGCACAUGAAUUUAAGAGAGGCAAGCAAAACACGCUGGGUGUUUUCCUGCAAACUCAAAGCUGCAGCCAGCUGACAUCCUCUGGGCAUCACGUCCAUGAACAUCCAUGGUGCUCUUCCAUCAAGGCAGGUACUCAAAGCACCAGAGCAAACACUGCUCUGAUUUUCCACCCCAGUUUGCACUGUGCUUUUCACACAGCUGGGAUGCAACUGGAAAAAAAAAUAUCUUCAUAAAUUACUAAGAUGAUUUCCUUCUUGCAGUAAUAGGGAGCACUCUCCCUACUGUCUUGGGAAAGCUCUGGAAGCGCCCUCGACUGUGGUUUUGCCCAGCUGUUGGGGGUUGUAUGUUUUAAAUAAUUAUUUUAUAUAUGUAUAUUAAGCAAAGGAAGUGAGUUGGCAUCGAAGCCGUGCGGGCCACCAGUAGAGGGCAAAGGAAGCCAAGGAAUUCUCUUCCCCGAGAGCAACAAAGAAAACAACGUCAUCUCUAAGUGGCCGCCGCUCCCGGCGCGGUGGGAUCGCGGUGUGAAUUAGCAAAACGUGCUGGCUUCACCCCUCGCCCGGCUUAAAAAAAGCCAGAGAUGAGAAGUUAAAACGCUAAAGGCUGCAGGCCGAAGGAGCGCGGCCGGAGCCCCGGUCGCUGUGCUCGGGACACGCAGCAGCACAGGGAGAGAGAAUCCGGAAUCCGGAGGGAGCAGCGCUAAAACCCAGUGACCUAAAUAUUCUCGGCCGUGGUGCCGCAUGAGCAGCUCCCCGAGCACCACGUUUUACUGCGGAAAUGUGAAAUUGUUUUGUGGGGGAAGGGAGAGCGGGCGAGGCGGUGAUUUGCUCAGAAAGGGAAGAAAAUCCUCAAGAGUCCUGCAGAUAAAUGUGCCUGUGCUAGUUCCACGCCAAUGGAAAGCAGCAUUUCCACCAGUGGAUUACUCACCUAUUGCAGUCGAGGAUGAUCACAAACGCUGACAGGUAACUCCCUUUUCAACUCAAGCCAUCAAAACCCUCUCUUUAUUGUCACGAUUGCACAGAGCUGCUGAGAUUUGAAGUUUGAUCCAGCACGUGUGAGCUGUAUUUCAUCAUGCCUUCAUCUGAAGGUGCAGAGGGCAAUAACCAAGAUAAAAGCUGCCAUUUCAAUUGUU